UACGAAGGGAGCUAGCGUUGUUCGGAAUCACUGGGCGUAAAGCGCACGUAGGCGGAUGUGUCAGUCAGGGGUGAAAUCCCGGAGCUCAACUUCGGAACUGCCUUUGAUACAGCACGUCUUGAGUCCGAUAGAGGUGGGUGGAAUUCCUAGUGUAGAGGUGAAAUUCGUUAGAUAUUCGCAAGAACACCAGUGGCGAAGGCGGCUCACGUGGUCCGGUUCUGACGCUGAGGCGCGAAAGCGUGGGGAGCAAACAGG
rnacentral:rRNA from 1 species